CAGCUCCGCGGAGAAAGGCGGCGUAAACCGGGCACGAAACGGCGGCGUUGCUCCCAGUACAGUGUUUGCAGCUGAAGUUAGUACCGCUGGCGGAGUGAUAUAUUUGUUGGUUAUUUACAGUACGUUUUAUAGCACGCGCUCAUGAUAUACAAGAUCGCGUGAAGAGUUGAAUUUGUUAUCGCGCACAGAUUUCCGCGUUUAUCGCGUCUCUGUCAAACCCCGGCACUUCAACAAUACUAAAGGGAUUUAUGCGUACAGCCUACGAUCACCUGUGAGUUUACCUCCUGAUACAAUUGAGCUGGCUGCACCGUAUCCAAUGGUUCCGCCCCUUUGUUUCCUUUUCUGAAUUCUGAUUGGAACAAUGGAACGUCAAUCCCGUCCAAACAAGUGACUGUGGCAGGACAGUGCAGUGGUCCAGCCCUGUGGAUGCUGAACGG